rnacentral:rRNA from 1 species
UUGAACGCUGGGCGGCGUGCUUAACACAUGCAAGUCGAGCGGAAAGGCCCUUCGGGGUACUCGAGCGGCGAACGGGUGAGUAACACGUGAGCAACCUGCCCCCGACUCUGGGAUAAGCCCGGGAAACUGGGUCUAAUACCGGAUACGACACCCCCUCGCAUGGGGUGGGUGUGGAAAGUCUUUUCGGUUGGGGAUGGGCUCGCGGCCUAUCAGCUUGUUGGUGGGGUAGUGGCCCACCAAGGCGACGACGGGUAGCCGGCCUGAGAGGGCGACCGGCCACACUGGGACUGAGACACGGCCCAGACUCCUACGGGAGGCAGCAGUGGGGAAUAUUGCACAAUGGGGGAAACCCUGAUGCAGCGACGCCGCGUGCGGGAUGACGGCCUUCGGGUUGUAAACCGCUUUCAGCAGGGACGAACACAGACGGUACCUGCAGAAGAAGCGCCGGCUAACUACGUGCCAGCAGCCGCGGUAAUACGUAGGGCGCAAGCGUUGUCCGGAAUUAUUGGGCGUAAAGAGCUCGUAGGCGGUCUGUCGCGUCGGAUGUGAAAGCUCGAGGCUUAACCUCGGGUCUGCAUCCGAUACGGGCAGACUAGAGGCAGGUAGGGAGAACAGA